CAGUCCUGGGUAUCCCUUGUUUAGGGAACACUUGACAUUGUCUGGUCGCCAAGGUGAUCAUGGUGAUCCGUAGCUGCGCGUAGGCCCGCGUAGCCGCCUUGCCGGCCUCGGCCCUUUUACCUCGGCAGACCGCACCGGAAAAAAGAUGACGACGCUGUUUUGGUGAAUAUUUUCUUCGCGCUCGACGGUCUGUGCGCCAAAUUCAAAAAAAGUCGAAAGCCUUUUCUUCUUUCUCGAGUGAUCCUUGGUGAUUUUUCAAGCUUCUUCGCAGUGUUCAACACCCAAUGGCUCAGGAGAAGAAAAGUCGAAAAAGUGUAGUCACUGGCCUCGUUUCAAGUGACAGCAGGAGAAGAAAUUUCCUUUCAAAACGGAAGAAUGGACUCCUAAAAAAGGCCGCAGAGUUGCAUGUUGGAAGUGGAGCCAAGGUUUUGGUCGUGGUGGUCGCUCCUUCUGGAGUUCGACACACGUACAGCUCGCAUCCUGUGGACGAGAUUUUGCCCUCAACCAGCUCAAGUGUCACAACAGCAAGAGCUGACCCAGUGGCAUGCUCUGCAAGAAGCAGUUCAUAUCCCACCGCGAUGAACACCCCAGAUUCCACCACGAGCCCCACUGAAGAAUGAAAAUAAAAUUUGGACUGCUGGUCCUUCAAACA